UGCGAAAGCGAAACGCGAAACGCGAAACGCCUAAAAUGCGGAAAAGCUGUGCGAAACGGACCCAAAAGUUGGGACCCUGUUUCGCAUUUUAGGCCUUGGGUCCGUACUAAAAUGCGAAAUCGGUGGGUGCGAAACGUCAACAGAACGUCAACAGACGACGCCAUUAACAUACGUACUUGCGUCACAAAAAUCUACUCGUCAAGAUAAAAACACCUUGCCUUCGAGUUAGUUUAUCCUAGUUUCUGUUUUGUAUAUAAUUCGUUAAAUUAAAAGGAUAUUACAGUUUUGUGUAUUUACCUAUUGUAUUCAUGAUUUUGAUUUGUGAUUCACGUUAUUUGCCAUUCAAUCACCGCAAUACUUCUUAAACUUGAUAAUUAAAGUCAUGGGAGAUGUCCACUUCAUGAAACUCGCUUUGUCGUUUUGCUGAAGUAAGCUGUCUUUCUGCAAAGAAAUAAAUGAGAGUAAAGAAAAAACUUCCCAAUGUGAGGUGACAUGAUGUUUCACCUGAUACAUUGUAACCUACAUUCUCUGAGCAAUAAUUUGGUUAUCCCUGUCAUAGAAAACCUUGGUGGAAUUCUGAGAGUGGUAAUAGUUCCAUAGCUCAUGCUGCCCAAGUAAUAGUGUGGAGCAGGCGUAUCUGUGCUUUACUUUUGCUACAAGCGCUAGAAGAUUGGCAUCACAAAUCAAAUCUUUGUAUUUUCAAUCUACAAUUCAGGUGGAUUAUACAAUAUGUGUGCAUGUGCGCAUGGAAAGUGCGUCGUGUCGAUGACUUUGUCAACGGGGGAAAAAUGUUAAGCUUAAUUUGCUCGAUAAUAGAAUUUGUUUUAAUCUUUUCUUCUUUUAUUAUCAUUUAUUUCAUACCUCGGUUGAAUCACUCAUCAGCCCGUCCCAAGACGCAUAGCUGACUUUUGACUUCAAUUUUUCAUAAUUUAAACCGAAAUAGUGUAGCGGCUGAAGAAAUAAAAUUUGAUUGCUCCCCCCUU